rnacentral:rRNA from 1 species
GAUGAACGCUGGCGGCGUGCCUAAUACAUGCAAGUCGAGCGAACGGACGAGAAGCUUGCUUCUCUGAUGUUAGCGGCGGACGGGUGAGUAACACGUGGAUAACCUACCUAUAAGACUGGGAUAACUUCGGGAAACCGGAGCUAAUACCGGAUAAUAUUUUGAACCGCAUGGUUCAAAAGUGAAAGACGGUCUUGCUGCCACUUAUAGAUGGAUCCGCGCUGCAUUAGCUAGUUGGUAAGGUAACGGCCUACCAAGGCAACGAUGCAUAGCCGACCUGAGAGGGUGAUCGGCCACACUGGAACUGAGACACGGUCCAGACUCCUACGGGAGGCAGCAGUAGGGAAUCUUCCGCAAUGGGCGAAAGCCUGACGGAGCAACGCCGCGUGAGUGAUGAAGGUCUUCGGAUCGUAAAACUCUGUUAUUAGGGAAGAACAUAUGUGUAAGUAACUGUGCACAUCUUGACGGUACCUAAUCAGAAAGCCACGGCUAACUACGUG